rnacentral:lncRNA from 1 species
AGAUGAAAUUAGACAGCAGAGAUAUCUAGAAGCUGCUAAUGCUGAAGAAGAAUACAAUGAGGAGAAUGGCAUACAGUCAGAAAGCUCCAGAGGGCAAGCACUUAUACCUGGGCGUCCAGGAGGUAGAGGACACAGACUUGAUAGUAAGGGAAGACAUGGCAAUUUUUUCAGACAAAGGUUUUUCAGCAAAUCAUCCUCUACUUCAUCCGGUAAGUGA